AUUGAACGCUGGCGGCAGGCCUAACACAUGCAAGUCGAGCGGAGCGGCGGACGGGUGCGUAAUGCCUAGGAAUCUGACUGGUAGUGGGGGAUAACGUCCGGAAACGGGCGCUAAUACCGCAUACUAUCAGAUGAGCCUAGGUCGGAUUAGCUAGUUGGUGGGGUAAAGGCCUACCAAGGCGACGAUCCGUAACUGGUCUGAUAGUAUGAUCAGUAACACUGGAACUGAGACAGGGUCCAGACUACUACGGGAGGCAGCAGUGGGGAAUAUUGGACAAUGGGCGAAAGCCUGAUGAAGCCAGGCCGCGUGUGUGAAGAAGGUCUUCGGAUUGUAAAGCACUUUAAGUUGGGAGGCGUUACCAACAGAAUAAGCACCGGCUAACUUCGUGCCAUAAGCCGCGGUAAUUC
rnacentral:rRNA from 1 species